rnacentral:rRNA from 1 species
CCUACGGGAGGCAGCAGUGAGGAAUAUUGGUCAAUGGGCGCGAGCCUGAACCAGCCAAGUCGCGUGAGGGAAGACGGUCCUAUGGAUUGUAAACCUCUUUUGUCGGGGAGCAAAAGACGCCACGCGUUGCGUUCCGAGAGUACCCGAAGAAAAAGCAUCGGCUAACUCCGUGCCAGCAGCCGCGGUACUACGGAGGAUGCGAGCGUUAUCCGGAUGUAUUGGGUUGAAAGGGGGCGCAGGCGGAAGAUCAAGUCAUGGGUAAAAUUGAGUGGCUCAACCUCUUCGAGCCGUUGAAACUGGUUUGCUUGAGUGAGUGAGAAGUAUGCGGAAUGCGUGGUGUAGCGGUGAAAUGCAUAGAUAUCACGCAGAACUCCGAUUGCGAAGGCAGCAUACCGGCGCGCAACUGACGCUCAGGCACGAAAGUGUGGGUAUCGAACAGGAUUAGAUACCCCAGUAGUC